AAGUCACAGGACGAAGUGGUUGGGUCAGGGCUUCACAUUCAAUCUUUUGGAAUGGGUGUGGGUUCAAGGCUCAGGAAAGUCCCCGGGCCGUAAUCCGUAGAAAUUACGGGCUCGGAAACGAGUUCUACUUCUUGCGCGGUAAUCAAUCACGGCCUUCGGGCUGUGGGGGCAGAGACGUGUGUGGAGCCUUUGGUACUGCCUGGAGUAUAUUAGCCGAUUAACACAGUUAUCCACUUGGUCCUAAUUGGACUAACUGAACGGGGAUUACGAUCCUGUGACU